CGGGGCGUAGCUCAGCUUGGUAGAGCGCUACGUUUGGGACGUAGAAGUCGCUGGUUCGAGUCCAGUCGCCCCGACCA
rnacentral:tRNA from 1 species